GAUGAAGAACGUAGCGAAAUGCGAUACGUAAUGUGAAUUGCAGAAUUCAGUGAAUCAUCGAAUCUUUGAACGCACAUUGCGCCCAUUAGUAUUCUAGUGGGCAUGCCUGUUCGAGCGUCAUUUCAACCCUUAAGCCUCUGUUGCUUAGCGUUGGGAGCCUACCUACCCGGUAGAUCCUCAAAGUUAGCUGGCAGGGUCGAGGUUCGCCCUAAGCGUAGUAGUUCUUUCUCGCUUCUGCGGCUGCCUAGGCCAUCGCCACAAGCCUUUUAAACUUCAAUGGUUGACCUCGGAUCAGGUAGGAAUACCCGCUGAACUUAAGCAUAUCAAUAAGCGGAGGA
rnacentral:misc_RNA from 1 species